AUUGAACGCUGGCGGCAGGCCUAACACAUGCAAGUCGAACGGAUCGGCGGACGGGUGCGUAAUACCUAUGAAUCUGCCUGGUAGUGGGGGCUAACGUCAGGUAACGGGCGCUGAUACCGCAUCCUAUCAGAUGAGCCUAGGUGGGAUUAGCUAGUUGGUGGGGUAAAGGCCUACCAAGGCGACGAUCGGUAACUGGUCUGAGAGGAUGACCAGUCACACUGGAACGGAUACACGGUCCAGACUCCUACGGGAGGCAGCAGUGGGGAAUAUUGGACAAUGGGCGAAAGCCUGAUCCAGCCAUGCCGCGUGUGUGAAGAAGGUCUUCGGAUUGUAAAGCACUUUAAGUUGGGAGGCGUUACCAACAGAAUAAGCACCGGCUAACUCCGUGCCAGCAGCCGCGGUAAUAC
rnacentral:rRNA from 1 species